AGACGAAGGUGGCAAGCGUUGUUCGGAAUUACUGGGCAUAAAGCGCGUGUAGGCGGCCCGUUAAGUCAGAUGUGAAAGCCCUCGGCCCAACCGAGGAAUUGCGUCUGAAACUGAUGGGCUUGAGGGUCAGAGGGGAGUGCGGAAUACCUGGUGGAGCGGUGAAAUGCGUUGAUAUCAGGUGGAACACCGAUAGCGAAGGCAGCUUACUAGACAGAGACUGACGCUGAGGCACGAAAGCGUGGGGAGCAAACAGGAUUAGAAACCCCGGUAGUCC
rnacentral:rRNA from 1 species